GACGAACGCUGGCGGCGUGCUUAACACAUGCAAGUCGAACGGAAAGGCUCCAGCUUGCUGGAGUACUCGAGUGGCGAACGGGUGAGUAACACGUGGGUAAUCUGCCCUGCACUCUGGGAUAAGCCUGGGAAACUGGGUCUAAUACUGGAUAUGACCUUUCUCCUUAUGGGGUUUGGUGGAAAGUUUUUCGGUGUAGGAUGAGCCCGCGGCCUAUCAGCUUGUUGGUGGGGUGAUGGCCUACCAAGGCGACGACGGGUAGCCGGCCUGAGAGGGUGAUCGGCCACAUUGGGACUGAGAUACGGACCAGACUCCUACGGGAGGCAGCAGUGGGGAAUAUUGCACAAUGGGCGGAAGCCUGAUGCAGCGACGCCGCGUGAGGGAUGACGGCCUUCGGGUUGUAAACCUCUUUCAGCAGGGACGAAGCGUAAGUGACGGUACCUGCAGAAGAAGCACCGGCUAACUAUGUG
rnacentral:rRNA from 1 species